rnacentral:rRNA from 1 species
AGAGUUUGAUCCUGGCUCAGGAUGAACGCUGGCGGCGUGCUUAACACUGCAAGUCGAACGGGAAAUAUUUCAUUGAGACUUCGGUGGAUUUGAUCUAUUUCUAGUGGCGGACGGGUGAGUAACGCGUGGGUAACCUGCCUUAUACAGGGGGAUAACAGUCAGAAAUGGCUGCUAAUACCGCAUAAGCGCACAGAGCUGCAUGGCUCAGUGUGAAAAACUCCGGUGGUAUAAGAUGGGCCCGCGUUGGAUUAGCUUGUUGGUGGGGUAACGGCCCACCAAGGCGACGAUCCAUAGCCGGCCUGAGAGGGUGAACGGCCACAUUGGGACUGAGACACGGCCCAGACUCCUACGGGAGGCAGCAGUGGGGAAUAUUGCACAAUGGGGGAAACCCUGAUGCAGCGACGCCGCGUGAAGGAAGAAGUAUCUCGGUAUGUAAACUUCUAUCAGCAGGGAAGAUAGUGACGGUACCUGACUAAGAAGCCCCGGCUAACUACGUGCCAGCAGCCGCGGUAAUACGUAGGGGGCAAGCGUUAUCCGGAUUUACUGGGUGUAAAGGGAGCGUAGACGGUGUGGCAAGUCUGAUGUGAAAGGCAUGGGCUCAACCUGUGGACUGCAUUGGAAACUGUCAUACUUGAGUGCCGGAGGGGUAAGCGGAAUUCCUAGUGUAGCGGUGAAAUGCGUAGAUAUUAGGAGGAACACCAGUGGCGAAGGCGGCUUACUGGACGAUAACUGACGCUGAGGCUCGAAAGCGUGGGGAGCAAACAGGAUUAGAUACCCUAGUAGUCCACGCCGUAAACGAUGAGAACUAAGUGUUGGAGAGAUUCAGUGCUGCAGUUAACGCAAUAAGUUCUCCGCCUGGGGAGUAUGCACGCAAGUGUGAAACUCAAAGGAAUUGACGGGGGCCCGCACAAGCGGAGGAACAUGUGGUUUAAUUCGAUGAUACGCGAGGAACCUUACCCGGGCUUAAAUUGCAACAGAAUAUAUUGGAAACAGUAUAGCCGUAAGGCUGUUGUGAAGGUGCUGCAUGGUUGUCGUCAGCUCGUGCCGUGAGGUGUCGGCUUAAGUGCCAUAACGAGCGCAACCCUUAUCUUUAGUUACUAACAGGUGAUGCUGAGGACUCUAGAGAGACUGCCGUCGUAAGAUGUGAGGAAGGUGGGGAUGACGUCAAAUCAGCACGGCCCUUACGUCCGGGGCUACACACGUGUUAUAAUGGGGGGUACAGAAGGCAGCUACACGGCGACGUGAUGCUAAUCCCAAAAACCUCUCUCAGUUCGGAUCGAAGUCUGCAACCCGACUUCGUGAAGCUGGAUUCGCUAGUAAUCGCGCAUCAGCCAUGGCGCGGUGAAUACGUUCCCGGGCCUUGUACUCACCGCCCGUCA